GGUGAGUAACACGUGGAUAACCUACCUAUAAGACUGGGAUAACUUCGGGAAACCGGAGCUAAUACCGGAUAAUAUUUUGAACCGCAUGGUUCAAAAGUGAAAGACGGUCUUGCUGUCACUUAUAGAUGGAUCCGCGCUGCAUUAGCUAGUUGGUAAUGUAACGGCUUACCAAGGCAACGAUGCGUAGCCGACCUGAGAGGGUGAUCGGCCACACUGGAACUGAGACACGGUCCAG
rnacentral:rRNA from 1 species